UACGGAGGGUGCAAGCGUUAUCCGGAUUCACUGGGUUUAAAGGGAGCGCAGGCGGAUUUGUAAGUCAGUGGUGAAAGGCUUAAGCUUAACUUGGGAACUGCCAUUGAUACUAUAAGUCUUGAAUGUUGUUAAGGUUUGCGGAAUGGGUCAUGUAGCGGUGAAAUGCAUAGAUAUGACCCGGAACACCUAUUGCGAAGGCAGCAGGCUAAACAAAUAUUGACGCUGAGGCUCGAAAGCGUGGGGAUCAAACAGG
rnacentral:rRNA from 1 species